CGGCGACUGGGGGAAUUGGCAGACCCGGCGGGCUCAGACCCCGCCGUCCUCGCGGACGUGAGCGUUCAAGUCGCUCGUCGCCGACCA
rnacentral:tRNA from 1 species